rnacentral:rRNA from 1 species
GACGAACGCUGGCGGCGUGCCUAACACAUGCAAGUCGAGCGGGAACCUCAGGAGGGGUAACCCUCUUGAGGGGAGAGCGGCGAACGGGUGAGUAACACGUGGGCAACCUGCCCCGGACACCGGGAUAACCCAGGGAAACCUGAGCUAAUACCGGAUACUCCGGCGUGAUCGCAUGGUCGCGCCGGGAAAGCUCCGACGGUCCGGGAUGGGCCCGCGGCCUAUCAGCUUGUUGGUGGGGUAACGGCCCACCAAGGCGACGACGGGUAGCUGGUCUGAGAGGACGGCCAGCCACACUGGGACUGAGACACGGCCCAGACUCCUACGGGAGGCAGCAGUGGGGGAUCUUGCGCUAAUGCGCGAAAGCGUGACGCAGCGACGCCGCGUGGGGGAUGAAGGCCCUCGGGUUGUAAACCCCUUUCGGCAGGGACGAAGCGAAAGUGACGGUACCCGCAGAAGAAGUCCCGGCUAACUACGUGCCAGCAGCCGCGGUAAAAC